UAAGAAAUAAAUACAGCUAUUGGUACACUUGGCUUGAUUUUACUGCAUUUCUAUUCUCAGCUCCACCCAUCUAUCCAUGCAAUAUGUGAUUCCGCAAGAAAUAAAAGCUUAUUGUAGCAACUUUUUGUAUAAUCUGGAGAGAGUUAGAGAUGAAAGACAUGCUCACUUGUGUUUUUGUUCAUUUUCAUGUUUGGUUGCCAAAAUGAUGAUCACCUUUGAGAAAAAUCACACACAAAACAAGCAUCAAAUGCUAAAAUCAUAAAAAACUGUUAUAAAAAUCAAAUUCUACGCUAUUUUUUACCCUUGGGAACAGCUGUUGUUUGCUAGACUCUUCCAGGGCUUGCGGAAAGCCCUUCUUGUUCACUCACUUUCUGGUCCCGUUUUUUACCAUUGAAUUACUGUAAGAAAAUACGCCCACGCACUACUUCCGGUCUGACAUCUCUACCUUAUUGUUACUAUUACAAACGGGUACUAAUUUUAGCGAAUUUGUAAUUAACGCUAAAUUAACCCUUUCCCCGUUGAAACCGUCAUAAUUAUGACAGCCACUCUAGUGGUAAUUUUCAAAAAUUCGCUGUGUUGCACGCUGUAGGUACCAGCACAUGCGCAUUGAGCUGCUCUUUCACGUGGUAUCUUUAAUAUGCUGCCUCGAGGUACGCUUUGUACAGUAAUGUCGAAAGAAAAGUGACCGUUUAAUUAAUAAUGUUUCAAGAUCUUCGUAGUACAACCUCAGUGAGGUUCUAGAGCAGCUAGACAGUGAGAAUAUCGAUGCUUAUGGCCUUGUUGAGUGAGAGGAUAGUGAAUGGGAUCAUAGCUAGAUAAAAAGCUACCUCAAGCUAUAUUUAUAGAGCCUGAAGGCCUGAGGAAGAAGCUCUUGCGAUGGAUAAACUUCUUGGAUCUGGUGAAGAAAGCAUUUCCCGGGAAAAGGGCGUCUGCUGGUACGACCUCACAGAGAACUUUUUGCAGAUCCUGAUUGAGAACACUUAUUUAGUGUCUUUAGCCACUCUGUGCCCUCAUACAAUAUUAUUUGUGUACAUAAUUGUGAAUGUUUAUAAACAAUUGCUAAUUAGUGGGGGUGGUCAGUUGUUAGGUAACAAAGAUGGUGUCAAGAUACCUCUGGGGUCUGCGCUACUAUAGUUACAAGUCAUUUCAAUGUAUGCAUGGUUCAGGAUAUAUGAAUUUUUAAAGAAAAUUGUUAUUUAUUCUGCAUUUUCUUGUUUUAAUUAAAACGGGGAAAGGGUUAAGUAUAAUUACCAGGCGCAGAUCACAUGACAUUGAGCUGAGUGAAAGCAAAGAGUCUGACGCAUCAGAUGCAGUGGAGACCAUCCAGUCCGCUAUGCAUGAGAAGGUACAUGGCCAGACAGAUGGUAAUGAAAGAUCUGAAUAGGUCCAUUUUUCCAUUUUUAUUUAUAGAACUAGCUGUACUCUUUCUAAUUGUUUCGUUUUUCGCUAUCUAAAAUUAAUGUUUGAAUGUCUAAUUCAUUUCGUGGACUUGGAUUUCUACGUAAGUAUAUGCACAUAGCAAAAUAUGUACUUUUCACAUUGUCUCCAACAUUAUCAUAAUUAUAGCAUGCACAUUGCACAUUGCACAUUACACAUUCUAGGAUUGAGUCGAGGGCACUGUCCUCUCCCACAGUGGUGAGCAUUGGUGAUCUAUGGAAGGACGGGGCCACUGUCUCCGGCCUUGUGGGCUAUCAACCCCCUCACACCUCACACACGAUUGACAGUACUCACAACAGGAGUGUCACUAAAGGGAAUGGCUUAAGUGAGGCUGUUGGUCCGUGGAGGGCGUGUGCAGAGAUGUCUGAUAGAGACACGUCCCCACUACCUUUUUACGGCUCAACCACUCACACUCAUCCAGCACUCCAUCGCUAGUCGACAGUCCUGGAUAAAAAAGCUUACUGACUGAUGAGUUUUGACGGAUUAGCCUAUAUCACCACUUAUAGACUAACUUGUACUAUUGUCUAUGCCACUCUUAUUUCUGCAAUGUCCAGUCUGUUACAUCAUAGAUAAUCUAUGGUUACAUGUACAUGAGAUUAAUGUGCAGUCUUUGUGAA